rnacentral:rRNA from 1 species
GAUGAGCGCUAGCUACAGGCUUAACACAUGCGAGUCGCGGGGCAGCAUGGGGGUUGCUUGCAAUCCCCGAUGGCGACCGGCGCACGGGUGAGUAACGCGUAUUCAACCUGCCCUUCACCACGGGAUAACCCGGCGAAAGUCGGACUAAUACCGUAUGUUGUCCAUUGACGGCAUCCGAUUUGGACGAAAGGCUUGGCGGUGAGGGAUGGGGAUGCGUCCGAUUAGCCAGACGGCGGGGUAACGGCCCACCGUGGCUACGAUCGGUAGGGGUUCUGAGAGGAAGGUCCCCCACACUGGAACUGAGACACGGUCCAGACUCCUACGGGAGGCAGCAGUGAGGAAUAUUGGUCAAUGGGCGUAAGCCUGAACCAGCCAAGUAGCGUGCAGGAUGACGGCCCUAUGGGUUGUAAACUGCUUUUAUGCGGGGAUAAAGUGGCCCACGUGUGGGCUUUUGCAGGUACCGCAUGAAUAAGGACCGGCUAAUUCCGUG